CUUACACAUGCAAGUCGAGGGGUAACGAUGGUGCUUGCACCAGGCGACGACCGGCGGACGGGUGAGUAACACGUAUGCAAUUUGCCUUUAACUGGAGGAUAGCUUCGGGAAACCGUAAUUAAUACUCCAUAGUAUUCAAAAGACGCAUGUUUUUUGAAUUAAAGCUCCGGCGGUUAAAGAUAAGCAUGCGGGACAUUAGCUAGUUGGUAAGGUAACGGCUUACCAAGGCGACGAUGUCUAGGGGGUUUGAGAGGAUGAUCCCCCACACUGGUACUGAGACACGGACCAGACUCCUACGGGAGGCAGCAGUGAGGAAUAUUGGGCAAUGGGCGCAAGCCUGACCCAGCCAUGCCGCGUGCAGGAUGAAGGUCCUAUGGAUCGUAAACUGCUUUUGUAUGGGAAGAACUUCCCGCAUUCGUGCGGGAUUGACGGUACUAUACGAAUAAGGACCGGCUAACUCCGUGCCAGCAGCCGCGGUAAUACGGAGGGUCCAAGCGUUAUCCGGAUUCACUGGGUUUAAAGGGUGCGUAGGUGGAACGAUAAGUCGAUGGUGAAAGCCUACAGCUUAACUGUAGAAUUGCCAUUGAUACUGUUGUUCUUGAGUAUAGUCGGGGGAAGUGGAAUGCGUAAUGUAGCGGUGAAAUGCAUAGAUAUUACGCAGAACACCGAUCGCGAAAGCAGCUUCCUAGGCUAUUACUGACACUGAGGCACGAAAGCGUGGGGAGCGAACAGGAUUAGAUACCCUGGUAGUCCACGCCGUAAACGAUGCUCACUCGCUGUUGGCGAUAUAUUGUCAGCCAGUUAAGCUAAAGCAUUAAGUGAGCCACCUGGGAAGUACGUCCGCGAGGAUGAAACUCCAAGGAAUUGACGGGGGCCCGCACAACCGGUGGAACUUGUGGUUCAAUUCGAUGAUACGCG
rnacentral:rRNA from 1 species